UGGACUAUACGAGCUUAGGCUGCUGUACCCUAGCUUUUGUGCUGUAUAUGAAUACUCUGAAUGCCGGAUUUGCUUAUGAUGACAGGAUUGCAAAACAUCUUUAAAAUUCGGAAUCGGAAAUCCAAAUCGAUGAGAAAUCAAUUUCGAACGAAACCAGAACAGCCCUGAAAUGAAACUACCAAUUUAUCAAAACGGCAACACUGAUAGCAGCUCUACUUGUGCAGAUCAUUAUCAGGAAGAAGAAUGGGAAGAAUUCCAGAAUUACGCUCACAGCGAGUGAAAUAUAGAAAAAGUCAAGAAACGCAAACUAGGAGAAACUAGCUAGUAAACACCUGACCGAUGCUUUUGACAACUGAACAUAUGUAUUUGCUGCGAAUUUUUAAUCGCAUUUUAUGUUUAAAAAUUGUUCACAAAUACUCACGU